UCCUACGUUGGAUGGAGAGAUAAUGAAAUGUUCCUUAUAUAAAGAUGUGGUUCUCCCUAGUAGACGUUUUUUAAAACCGUAAGACUGACGACGAUACGUAAUGGGUCAAACCAGCCAAUAUCUACUAGAGGUGUGUUUGUGAUGUUACAAAUGGUAUCAAAACCAGACACCGGACAGUGUGCUAGCAAAGAUGUUGGCCCCCAAGGGAGUGGAUUGUGAAAUCCCACAUUUGUUGGAGAGGGGAAUGAAGUAUUCCUUAUAAGGAUGU